rnacentral:lncRNA from 1 species
GACAGAGCUGCCAAGUUCGGAGAAACUCUGGGCGUAAUUUGCCGCCUCAGAGAAAAAAGGCAGCUUUCUACACUGCCAGGCACUGAUCGCACAACAGCCAGCCUAAGACUAGGCGGGGCCAUCUGCUACGCACCGUCAUUCCGAACCCCCGAGAGCAGCGCGCGUGGGAAUAGACAGCCGGCGCUCCACGAAAGACACUGCCUACAUCGUAUUUCCGACGGUUCUGCGGGCGUUCACCACGCGGCAGCCCGGACGGCGAGUUCUCCCGGAUCGCGGCGGGAAGCGCAGACCUCCGGAGUCCCGGAAGGGCGCACACCCAGCCCCCGGCCAUGGCUCCGGGACCCCAUCUUCCUCGUCGUCUUGAGUGUCGUGCUGUGGGUGAGUCCCCGCCGCGGGCCCCAGCUCGAAGAAGGCGUGCCUGGUGGCCGAGAGGGAGCGAAGAGUAGGGGAAUCGCGGAUAUGAGACUUGGGGACAUGCCCGGGCAAAUCCCGGCGUGGUCCGAGGGAGGUCGGGCUGUGAGUCGGCGGGGAGGGGGCGGAGCCUGCGUGGCCCUGCCCCGCCCUCUCCUUUCCUUACUCCUCACCCCUUUUCUCCCCUCCUUUUCCUCCCCUCCUCUCUUCCCUUCUCCUUCUUUUGUAUGCUUGUUUAAUUUUUUUUUUUUUUUUUUUUUUUUGUCUUUUCCAGGGCCUCACCCGUGGCAUAUGGAGAUUCCCAGGCUAGGGGUCUAAUCGGAGCUGUAACCGCUGGUCUACACCACAGCCACAGCAACACGGGUUCCGAGCCUCGUCUGCAACCUACACCACAGCUCAUGGCAACGCGGGAUCCUUAACCACUGAGCGAGGCCAGGGAUUGAACCUGCAACCUCAUGGUUCCUAGUCAGAUUCGCUAAACACUGAGCCACGACGGGAACUCUCCUGUUUAAAUUCUUAAAAGUGCUCGCUGCAUCUCUUCUUCCCACGGAUUUUAACAGAAAAGUAACUUUCCCACCCCUGCUCUCGUUCAGCACCCCUUCCGGGCUGCUGUGAGAAGAGCAGUUUGCCAAACGCCUGCUAAGCAUUUUCUUACAUAGCAACACACGGGCUUUACAAGGUAAACCAUCAACAAUUCUACAGCUGGCCCCAGGGGCUCUGUCUUUAGUUUCAGAAACAAGGAUGUGAAAUUCUUAUUUUGACUUCCAUUGAUCAAACAAGUAAGGGCGUGCGUCCCAGAGAAACUCAUCAUAGAAAUAAGUGCAUACUUGGAAUUGGUUUCUAGCUUGCUCGAGGCUCCAGCCAGUUUGCCCUUAUAUGUUACAAAAACAAACAGCAACAAACCCCACCACCACCCCCAACACACACACACACACACCCCAAGGUUAUCCUGAAGAAGUAUUUGGCCUGGAAAUAGCAUUUCCUGUCAUUCCUAUUCAAAUGCCUGUAAAAGUGUGCUAACACUUUAGACAACCACCUUGAACAUUUAGGGGAGGUGAGAUAAUUAGAGUUUACAGAUGAGAAACUACUAAUAAAAGGAGAUAGCAGAGAGAGGCA